UAAAGCCCAUUAAUAGACACAAUUUGGGGGCAUGUAUCCAGUAGAUGUGUUGGAAGAUGAUCCUGACGCACAACAGGAAGCAGCUCUGGCUUACCAUGCCUCACUUAGGGAAGGAGCUGGGGCCCCAGCUGAGGUUUUCUGUCUUCCCACUGGGGAGAAGGUAUACGUGAUCUUCCUUGGCGAAGAGCUCUGUAAAAUCUAAUUUACAGAGUAGAAUGUUAUUGAAAGAAUAUAAUAGAUUAAAAAAAAAACCAUUCUGGAGUGAGUAUUAGAAUAAGUGCACCCUCAGAGGCAGAAUGAAUCCUGCAUUGGGAUUCUGGAGUCCAGAGUGUCCGUCCAGAGUUGCCAGGCAGUGAGCCAGAAAGCCUGUAUGAAUGUCUACCACUAACUUACUAGCUGUGUGACCUUGAGCAAGUGUCUUAACCUCUCUGGUCUCGGUAUUGUCAUCUCUAGACUGGGGACAAUAACAGCACAUAUCUUAUAGUGUUGUUAUGAGAAUUAAGUGAGAUACUGUGUGCUAUGCCCAGCUACCUCGGUUUCCCCAUUUGUAAAUGAGGGGAUUGGUUGGUCUUCAAUCUCCGAGGUUUGAUUCAGUUCCAAAACUUUGUGAUGUGGAAUGAAGUUAUAUCAAUUUUGAUUUUUGGCACUGAUGCAAUUCUAUGCAUUUUGAGUAGGGACUGAAAAGUAACAGAGAGAAAUGAAAACCAUUUGUUAGGACAGUAGGAUUGUGGGUGAAAUAUUAAAAUUGUGUUACUUUUAAGAUCUUUAUUUCCCUCCCUGCAGUAAGUAAAAAGAAUAUGUAAGUUUUAGUCAAUACCUAUGUCAGCUACCUUUCUUUCAGAUUUGAGUCUGAUCUGUUGAAAGAGACAAAGUUUUCUUGUUUUAUACGGAUACAAUUUCACUCACAGCAGGUAUUGUUAUCUGGUGGGCAAAGUUGGUUGAGAAAGACAGGGUUUUAUUUCUCUGCACUGAAGUUGUUCCUGAGUUAAUGAAAACAAUGACUUGUACAGUUUAUUGUGUGGCUUCCUUGAGAUUUUGGAGAUGCUAGCUCGCAGUCAUUCCCUGAAGAAUCCAGCGCUCAUCUGUGAUCAAAACCCUCCACGUUUUUGAUCUGCAGAUGGAGGUCGCUUUCCUCACAC
rnacentral:lncRNA from 10 species